CAACAUCAACAAACCCAACAUCAAUUUCUUAAAGCCUUAACUUUCAUUCUAAACAACGACAUUGCUAACAAUGGGAGAAGAUCAUAGAGGAACACCUUCAAAUGUUGCAGCUUACGAUGCUGAUGAUAAUAAGAAUUUCCGAGUACACUCGCACUGCAUGAAACAACCACCUAGUGAUAGCAUAAUGCCAUAUUUGUCUCGAGCCGGUUUUGAUAUGGUCUCGCAAAUUACCGUAAAAAGUGUAGAUACUGCCCUUGUGCUUGCGUUGGUCGAGAGAUGGAGACCCGAAACACAUAUGUUCCAUCUUUCAAUCGGUGAAUGCACCGUAACAUUACAAGAUGUGAGAAUGUUAAUUGGGCUCCGCAUUGAUGGUAUGACUGUUAACGGCCAAACACAAGAGCUGGGUAAUGUGUAUAUGAGACACCUAGGAGUACAACCUCCCGAAAAUGCCAUAAGUGGAGGUUCAAUAAGGAUUACAUGGCUGGAUGGCAUGUUGGAACAAUUGAGAGCAAUACAACAACCAACUGAUGCGCAAAACAUGCUACACGCUAAAAUUUAUAUUGUACUACUUAUUGCAAAAAAAAUAUUUUCUGAUAAAAGUCAAAAUUUAUUGCAUUCAUCUUGGAUACCGUUAGUGGGAGACAUUGAUAAGUGCGGGACAUAUAGUUGGGGUUCUGCUUGUUUGGCUCAUCUAUACAUAAAUUUGUGUAGAACGGCCGGCAAAGAUGCAAGAGGAAUCGCAGGAUGUGCACUGCUACUUUAGUGUUGGGCAUUCUGGCGUAUACCGCACAUUGCUCCCAGAAGUCCUGUUCAACCAUCUUAUCCAUAUGGAAUAAGGUUUGCUCAACGAGGAAUGAAAUACAAACCAAAUCCUCAUGGAGAUUUAAUUGGUUACCGAAAUGCCUUUGAUCACAUGCUUCCUCAACAUUUUGUGUGGAGUCCAUAUCCCGACUACCCUGAUUGUGCGCUGGAAUAUGGGGAGGUGUGGAGUGCGAAAACAUAUAUCAUAUGUUUUCAUAUUGUGGAAAUGCAUCACAUAUAUCAUGUGUUUUCAUAUUGUGGAAAUGCAUCACACGGACAGGGUAAAACUCCAAUUUGGUUUUAAGCAAGACAUCCCAAUAGCACCAAGAUGUCUUGACGAGCACCACAAAAUGGAGAAGCAAAGUUUCUGGCAUAUCCAUUGGAAAAAUGCGAACGUUGAAGAGAUCGCAGAAUGGAGGAACAGAAGGUCACUUGUAUUAGUGGGUGACUAUGUGGAUCAAGAGAGGGGUUUUGCGCACAGUGACGAAUAUAUGCGUUGGUUUCGCAAUAUUCCUGAAAUUCCACUUUCUCAGGAACAUCUAUUGCUCGACCCCCGUCGUCGCCGGUAUGGCUCUUCCUCAACCCAACCAACAGUCCCUUCCUCCACCCGACCCACCGUCCAUUCCUCAACCCGACCAACCAUCACACCACAUACUUUACAACAAACUGCCCAAAUGAACCCCUCAAAAUUUUGGGCUCAAUCCUCAUCUUUUCUUCAACAAACAUAUAACCCAUUUCAAACCAAUCCACAACCUUAUACUCACACCCGUAACACUUUCCAAACCAUUCAACAACCUUAUAACCCCACCACAACCCCUCAAACAAGCUUCUACCACCAACAACAAUUCCAACCACAAUUUUCGACCACAAUUCAACCGUAGUCCAGUUCCUCCACCACAAUUUGAUUUCUCCAACCCAUCAUCUUCCCAACCAACCACCUACCAAUUAACAGUGAAGAUCUAUAUUUUCCGGACAUUUUUCCAACAAUGUCAGAAACUUACCAUAGUUCGUCACAUUCAAUCCCCAACUUCGGCCUCACCAAUGACCAACUUAUGGAAUUUCCAGCAUUGGGUGUCGAAGAUUUGAAUAUUGAUAUGGGCGGUACCUAUGCGCAACAUGUUGAGGAAGAUGAAGAGUUGUCUGAAGAUGAUACACCAUCUCCUCCUCCGCCUACGCAGACAAGAGAAAAAUCACCGGACCUAGGCAGAGGGAAGCGCACCAAAAAACAGACAUAUUGUCAUACUGGCAGCAAACAUGUGUUCCACAAAUGAUGUAUUUGUAAUCGUAUUUUUAUUAAUAUUAAUAAUAUGGUUUUUUCUUUAAUCUCCAUUUUAAUUAUGUCAUAAAUAAAUAAAUUAUAA